GACGAACGCUGGCGGCGUGCUUAACACAUGCAAGUCGAGCGAGGCCCCUCCUUCGGGAGGGUGUCCUAGCGGCGAACGGGUGAGUAACACGUGGGCAACCUGCCCCCGGCUCUGGGAUAACUCCAAGAAAGUGGGGCUAAUACCGGAUAUGACCGCUGACCGCAUGAUCUGGAGGUGGAAAGAUUUAACGGCUGGGGAUGGUCCCGCGGACUCGCAGCUGGUUGGUGGGGUAGUGGCCUACCAAGGCGACGACGGGUAGGCGGCCUGAGAGGGUGACCGGCCACACUGGGACUGAGACACGGCCCAGACUCCUACGGGAGGCAGCAGAGGGGAAUAUUGCGCAAUGGGCGGAAGCCUGACGCAGCGACGCCGCGUGGGGGAUGACGGCCUUCGGGUUGUAAACCUCUUUCAGCAGGGACGAAGCGAAAGUGACGGUACCUGCAGAAGAAGCACCGGCUAACUCUGUGCCAGCCGCCGCCGUAA
rnacentral:rRNA from 1 species